rnacentral:sRNA from 1 species
AAGGAAAGUGAAGAUGCAGAGUUACUGUGGCGUUUGGCACGGGCAUCACGUGAUGUAGCUCAGCUUAGCAGAACCUCAGAAGAGGAGAAAAAGCUAUUGGUGUAUGAAGCCCUAGAGUAUGCAAAAAGAGCACUAGAAAAAAAUGAAUCUAGUUUUGCAUCUCAUAAGUGGUAUGCAAUCUGCCUUAGUGAUGUUGGAGAUUAUGAAGGCAUCAAGGCUAAAAUUGCAAAUGCAUAUAUCAUCAAGGAGCAUUUUGAGAAAGCAAUUGAACUGAACCCUAAAGAUGCUACUUCAAUUCACCUUAUGGGUAUUUGGUGCUAUACAUUUGCCGAAAUGCCUUGGUAUCAAAGAAGAAUUGCUAAAAUGCUGUUUGCAACUCCUCCUAGUUCCACCUAUGAGAAGGUAGUGUGAUGUCCUUUUUUAAGUUAGUACCGAUUUCUUAACCACAGCGCCAUUCUACCAUGUGUUCACACAUGUGGAGCUCUGAUUCAGUGAGGGACUUGAGCAAUUUCUAAUGAUCCAAUUCAACUGUGUUAUCACAAGGCUUAAAACUUGUUAUCCUUGA